CCUACGGGCGGCAGCAGUGGGGAAUAUUGGACAAUGGGCGAAAGCCUGAUCCAGCCAUGCCGCGUGUGUGAAGAAGGCCUUCGGGUUGUAAAGCACUUUCAGUGGGGAAGAAAGCCUUGGGGCUAAUACCCUCGAGGAAGGACAUCACCCACAGAAGAAGCACCGGCUAACUCCGUGCCAGCAGCCGCGGUAAUACGGAGGGUGCGAGCGUUAAUCGGAAUUACUGGGCGUAAAGCGCGCGUAGGCGGUCUGAUAAGCCGGUUGUGAAAGCCCCGGGCUCAACGUGGGAACGGCAUCCGGAACUGUCAGGCUAGGGUGCAGGAGAGGAAGGUAGAAUUCCCGGUGUAGCGGUGAAAUGCGUAGAGAUCGGGAGGAAUACCAGUGGCGAAGGCGGCCUUCUGGACUGACACUGACGCUGAGGUGCGAAAGCGUGGGUAGCAAACAGGAUUAGAUACCCGAGUAGUC
rnacentral:rRNA from 1 species